UCAGACGAUGCGUCAUGCAUAUCAAUAAGCGGAGGAAAAGAAACUAACAAGGAUUCCCUCAGUAACGGCGAGUGAAGCGGGAAGAGCUCAAAUUUGAAAUCUUGAAAGGUCACCUUUCACGAAUUGUAGUUUAAAGAAGUGUUUUCUGUUACGAUCGUAAUAUAAGUUCUUUGGAAUAGGACAUCACAGAGGGUGAGAAUCCCGUCUAUGAUUGCGAUUUGUAGCUUUGUGAUACACUUUCAAAGAGUCGGGUUGUUUGGGAAUGCAGCCCAAAACGGGAGGUAAAUUUCUUCUAAGGCUAAAUAUUGGCGAGAGACCGAUAGCGAACAAGUACCGUGAGGGAAAGAUGAAAAGAACUUUGAAAAGAGAGUUAAAUAGUACGUGAAAUUGUCAAAAGGGAAGCGUUUAACACCAGUGUUGUUUUCUGAAAAUCGACCUCUGUUAGCUUUAUGCAUGUUUGUUUAGACCUAAUCAGCUAUCUUGCAUGUUCUAUUGUUUGCAGUGGUGCACUUUUCAGUUUACAGGUCAACAUCAGUUUUUUUUACCGUAAAAAAGUUAAAGAAAGGUAGCUCAUGGCUCCGGUCGUGAGUGUUAUAGUCUUUUUCCUAUGCGGUAGGAGAGACUGAGGUCUGCAGUGUAGGCUAUUUGGCUAGAUACUCAGGUGCUAUGUGAUACCAUUUCAUAAACAACUUGUUGAUUAUGUUUUGUCUAUUGCAUACUCGCUUGUACUAUCAUACCUACGCUUAGGAUGUUGAUCUGUAGUGCGUGCGC
rnacentral:rRNA from 1 species